rnacentral:lncRNA from 1 species
GGCUAAUAAUAUUUCUAAUUCCUUUUUAAUUAGUUUCUAUGACACACAUUAGCUUCUCAAUGUGGCAAUUUUGAGGGAAUGACAACAACCUUCAACAUCAGAAACCUCAUUAAAGCAAAAUGAACCUAAAAACAGAAAUUGGGGAGGAAAAAAAAAUAUUCUGAGGUGUUUUCUUCUCCCAUUUGCUCCCAAUUCCUAUGCUAUAUACUACUAGACCAUACAAACAUAAAGUUGAGCUCAACUCUUGUUCAUUUCACAGGUGUGUCCGCAUAUUUUGCUUGGCACCAAUAUUCGUAUGAUUUACUAAUAUUGCCAUCUGGAAUUUAUUUUUUAUUUUUUAUUAGAUCCCAGUAUGGCCUGCAGUCCUGAAGAUUUCCUUGUGGUCUCCCAUCCAAGUACUAAACAGAUCUCACCACUCUUAAGCUUUCUGAGAUAGCCCCAAAUUCGCUAUUAGGGGUGGCACUAAACAUCCUGCACACAACUCUUCUCUGCAUGAUUUCGCAUCCAGGUCCAAAUGGGCAUAAGUGCAUUCCAGGCCAAGCUGGGUUGGCAGGGACUAUGGAGAAAAAUUAAGAAUGCUGAUUGUGGUGAUGGUUACUAAGGGGAGACAAGGAAAAGGAGGAAAAAUGAAGGGCAGGGUAAGGUCCUAUAGACUCACCUCCCAUCCUCCCAGCGCUUUCCUUUCCCUAGUUGGGCACUUGGGACACAUGCCAUGGUGGGAAGAAGACAGGCCAGUAGGGUUCGAGUGUUGCGCUAACUUGCCCCAUAAAAUACCUCUGGGGUUUUGUGUCAGCCAAAAUCUGAACAAGCCCAGUUCCAGAUAUUAGGUUAUUUUCCCAAUUGCAGCCUACCCAAGAUGGUUCAACCAAACUUCCAAACUGCAACCCCAAACAAAACGUGUUUCUUAUAUUGUGUUGUAAGGCCAGUGUUUACAAACCCUGGCAGGUUUUAAGAUAGGUGGGCUACAACUCCCAGAAUCCCCCAGUCACCUAGCGGAGGAACAGCAUAUUAGGCAAUAAAAAUGCAUGUCAAGAUUCCAGCAAUCGCUCUAAUGAAAUCAGGAUUCUCAAGCCAAACUUCACAAAAACUUCAAAGGAUUCAUUAGAGGCGACAUAACUGGCAUUGUCCUGUAGGAAGCCAACUCUGGCA